AUUGAACGCUGGCGGCAGGCCUAACACAUGCAAGUCGAACGGUAGCACAGAGAGCUUGCUCUCGGGUGACGAGUGGCGGACGGGUGAGUAAUGUCUGGGAAACUGCCUGCUGGAGGGGAUAACUACUGGAAACGGUAGCUAAUACCGCAUAAUGUCGCAAGACCAAAGAGGGGGACCUUCGGGCCUCUUGCCAUCGGAUGUGCCCAGAUGGGAUUAGCUAGUAGGUGGGGUAAUGGCUCACCUAGGCGACGAUCCCUAGCUGGUCUGAGAGGAUGACCAGCCACACUGGAACUGAGACACGGUCCAGACUCCUACGGGAGGCAGCAGUGGGGAAUAUUGCACAAUGGGCGCAAGCCUGAUGCAGCCAUGCCGCGUGUAUGAAGAAGGCCUUCGGGUUGUAAAGUACUUUCAGCGGGGAGGAAGGGGUUGAGUUUAAUACGCUCAAUCAUUGACGUUACCCGCAGAAGAAGCACCGGCUAACUCCGUGCCAGCAGCCGCGGUAAGAC
rnacentral:rRNA from 1 species